rnacentral:rRNA from 1 species
CCUACGGGUGGCAGCAGUGGGGCAUAUUGCACAAUGGGGGAAACUCUGAUGCAGCGACGCAGCGUGAGUGAUGACGUAAUUCGGUAUGUACAGCUCUUUUAGCAGGGAAGAAAAUGACGGUACCUGAGUAUGAUGCCCCGGCUAACUCCGUGCCAGCAUCCGCAGUAAUACGUCGGGUGCAAGCGUUAUCCGGAUUUACUGGGUGUAAAGGGAGCGUAGACGGCAGUGCAAGUCAGGAGUGAAAGGUGUGGGCACAACCGUCAGACUGCACUUGAAACUGUACGGCUUGAGUGCAGGAGAGGUAAGUGGAAUUCCUAGUGUAGCGGUGAAAUGCGUAGAUAUUAGGAGGAACACCAAUGGCGAAGGCAGCUUACUGAACUGUGACUGACGUUGAGGCUCGAAAGCGUGGGGAGCAAACAGGAUUAGAUACCCCGGUAGUC